UACGAAGGGGGCUAGCGUUGCUCGGAAUCACUGGGCGUAAAGGGUGCGUAGGCGGGUUUUUAAGUCAGAGGGGAAAUCCUGGAGCUCAACUCCAGAACUGCCUUUGAUACUGAGAAUCUUGAGUUCGGGAGAGGUGAGUGGAACUGCGAGUGUAGAGGUGAAAUUCGUAGAUAUUCACAAGAACACCAGUGGCGAAGGCGGCUCACUGGCCCGAUACUGACGCUGAGGCACGAAAGCGUGGGGAGCAAACAGG
rnacentral:rRNA from 1 species